rnacentral:rRNA from 1 species
AUUGAACGCUGGCGGCAUGCUUUACACAUGCAAGUCGAACGGUAACAGGCCUUCGGGUGCUGACGAGUGGCGAACGGGUGAGUAAUGCAUCGGAACGUGCCCAGAGGUGGGGGAUAACGCAGCGAAAGCUGUGCUAAUACCGCAUGUGAUCUGAGGAUGAAAGCGGGGGACCAAGCAGCAAUGUUUGGCCUCGCGCCUCUGGAGCGGCCGAUGUCAGAUUAGGUAGUUGGUGGGGUAAAGGCCUACCAAGCCGACGAUCUGUAGCUGGUCUGAGAGGACGACCAGCCACACUGGGACUGAGACACGGCCCAGACUCCUACGAGAGGCAGCAGUGGGGAAUUUUGGACAAUGGGCGCAAGCCUGAUCCAGCAAUGCCGCGUGCGGGAAGAAGGCCUUCGGGUUGUAAACCGCUUUUGUACGGAACGAAAAGGCUCUGGCUAAUACCUGGGGCUGAUGACGGUACCGUAAGAAUAAGCACCGGCUAACUACGUG